CUUUCGUUCGUCUGCUAGGCUGGCUAUCGCAGUUAAAGAUACUUUGACUACAGAGACAUCUAUUGUUGUCAGUCGAGGAAACACUUAUGACUUUGUGGGAGAGAGAAAUAAUGUUUUGAGCAGUGAAGUGCCGCGGAAGUUUGGCGAAUUGUGAAAGUUUGGGGUAUUGUUUUGUUAGUGUCUAAUGUGAGAUUUGUGGCUGCUGGCUAUCGAAACUACUUCUAGGGAACUGAAAAUUUAUUUUGCUUUCGUUCCGAGGUUCAUUCUCUCGCUUAGAGAUGGUGUAGUUUCAGUCAAGUCAUUGCAGUCCUAACACCUGUGAAUGAAAAAUACAAUGCUGAAGUGAAGCACAAUGGCAGCUCCAGUGAAGCACAUUGAAUGGAAGUUUGGAGUAAACAAAGCCUGCAGUAUUUUAGGGUCGACUGAAGCAUCCGAUCCCACGCGUCGGCUUUGACCCGUGACAUACGGGUGUUGUUGUGUGUGACGUCAUGACGGCGCGGAGUUUGGCUUGUGAGUGUGACGUGUUUGUAGAUGUCGUGUUGUGGUUAGUUGUGCUCUCUGGUGGUAUGUUCAAGGCUUUUGUUUGUGUGUUGUAAUGGGCUCAAUUUGCUUUUGCUCAGUAUCCAGAAUUGUUCGAGUGUCGGCUGUGUUUGUAGUGGAAUUCGUUUCAGUGAGUUAACGAUUUUGUGUGAAGGUUAAUUUAGUGUUGUUCACUGUAGAUCGUGUGGUAAUUUUAGUAAAAGUAAUCGGUUGUUGGUUUUGUUCAGGAAUGGAUAUGGCGGAUAAAAUUAACUGUACGCAGGUCAAGGGAAGUGUUCGAUCCCAAUGUGUGGCUGUGUGAUAUUGGUAUCAGGAGAUGUUUUUGUGCUAUAUAGGCCAAGAGAAGUGUUUGAUCCUAAUUUAUGGGACCGGGAACAGCUGUUGAGCAAUAUAGGUCAAGGGAAGUGUCCGAUUCCAGAUGAUAUUGU